CCUACGGGGGGCAGCAGUGAGGAAUAUUGGUCAAUGGACGCAAGUCUGAACCAGCCAUCCCGCGUGCAGGAAGAAGGCGCUAUGCGUUGUAAACUGCUUUUCCAGGGGAAGAAAACCUGCUACGUGUAGUGGCUUGCCGGUACCCUGGGAAUAAGCAUCGGCUAACUCCGUGCCAGCAGCCGCGGUAAUACGGAGGAUGCGAGCGUUAUCCGGAUUUAUUGGGUUGAAAGGGUGCGUAGGCGGGCCUAGUGAAAACCUGCAGCUUAACUGUAGAACUGCCAUUGAGACUGUCGGACUUGAGUGUGGUCAAGGUAGGCGGAAUGUGUAAUGUAGCGGUGAAAUGCUUAGAUAUUACACAGAACACCGAUUGCGAAGGCAGCUUGCUGGACCAUUACUGACGCUGAUGCACGAAAGCGUGGGGAGCAAACAGGAUUAGAUACCCGAGUAGUC
rnacentral:rRNA from 1 species